rnacentral:rRNA from 1 species
AGCUCCAAUAGCGUAUAUUAAUGUUGUUGCAGUUAAAAAGCUCGUAGUUGAAUUUCUGGUUUCGAUAUUAGCUGGCUUCGGUCGUUAAUCUCGAUAUCAUCCGUUAGAGAACUACAGCCGUCCUUAACUGGUCACUGUAGAGAUCUAACAUUUUACUUUGAAAAAAUUAGAGUGUUCAAGGCAGGCAAUCGUCAUGAAUACUACAGCAUGGAAUAAUGGAAUAGGACUUUGGUUCAUUUUAUUGGUUAUUGAACCUUAGUAAUGAUUAACAGGGACAGUUGGGGGCAUUUGUAUUUAAUUGUCAGAGGUGAAAUUCUUGGAUUUAUUAAAGACAAACUUAUGCGAAAGCAUCUGCCAAAGAUGUUUUCAUUA